rnacentral:rRNA from 1 species
ACGGAGAGUUUGAUCCUGGCUCAGAACGAACGCUGGCGGCGUGGAUUAGGCAUGCAAGUCGAACGCGAAAGAGGGGGAAACUCCUCGAGUAGAGUGGCGAACGGGUGAGUAACGCGUGAAGAACCUGCCUUCGAGAGGGGGAUAACACUCCCAACGGGGUGCUAAUACCGCAUGAGACCACGGAUCCGCAUGAAUCCGAGGUCAAAGGUGGCCUCUAUUUAUAAGCUACCACUCG